rnacentral:rRNA from 1 species
UUGAACGCUGGCGGCAGGCCUAACACAUGCAAGUCGAACGGUAACAGGAAGAAGCUUGCUUCUUUGCUGACGAGUGGCGGACGGGUGAGUAAUGUCUGGGAAACUGCCUGAUGGAGGGGGAUAACUACUGGAAACGGUAGCUAAUACCGCAUAACGUCGCAAGACCAAAGAGGGGGACCUUCGGGCCUCUUGCCAUCGGAUGUGCCCAGAUGGGAUUAGCUAGUAGGUGGGGUAACGGCUCACCUAGGCGACGAUCCCUAGCUGGUCUGAGAGGAUGACCAGCCACACUGGAACUGAGACACGGUCCAGACUCCUACGGGAGGCAGCAGUGGGGAAUAUUGCACAAUGGGCGCAAGCCUGAUGCAGCCAUGCCGCGUGUAUGAAGAAGGCCUUCGGGUUGUAAAGUACUUUCAGCGGGGAGGAAGGGAGUAAAGUUAAUACCUUUGCUCAUUGACGUUACCCGCAGAAGAAGCACCGGCUAACUCCGUGCCAGCAGCCGCGGUAAUACGGAGGGUGCUAGCGUUAAUCGGAAUUACUGGGCGUAAAGCGCACGCAGGCGGUUUGUUAAGUCAGAUGUGAAAUCCCCGGGCUCAACCUGGGAACUGCAUCUGAUACUGGCAAGCUUGAGUCUCGUAGAGGGGGGUAGAAUUCCAGGUGUAGCGGUGAAAUGCGUAGAGAUCUGGAGGAAUACCGGUGGCGAAGGCGGCCCCCUGGACGAAGACUGACGCUCAGGUGCGAAAGCGUGGGGAGCAAACAGGAUUAGAUACCCUGGUAGUCCACGCCGUAAACGAUGUCGACUUGGAGGUUGUGCCCUUGAGGCGUGGCUUCCGGAGCUAACGCGUUAAGUCGACCGCCUGGGGAGUACGGCCGCAAGGUUAAAACUCAAAUGAAUUGACGGGGGCCCGCACAAGCGGUGGAGCAUGUGGUUUAAUUCGAUGCAACGCGAAGAACCUUACCUGGUCUUGACAUCCACGGAAGUUUUCAGAGAUGAGAAUGUGCCUUCGGGAACCGUGAGACAGGUGCUGCAUGGCUGUCGUCAGCUCGUGUUGUGAAAUGUUGGGUUAAGUCCCGCAACGAGCGCAACCCUUAUCCUUUGUUGCCAGCGGUCCGGCCGGGAACUCAAAGGAGACUGCCAGUGAUAAACUGGAGGAAGGUGAGGAUGACGUCAAGUCAUCAUGGCCCUUACGACCAGGGCUACACACGUGCUGCAAUGGCGCAUACAAAGAGAAGCGACCUCGCGAGAGCAAGCGGACCUCAUAAAGUGCGUCGUAGUCCGGAUUGGAGUCUGCAACUCGACUCCAUGAAGUCGGAAUCGCUAGUAAUCGUGGAUCAGAAUGCCACGGUGAAUACGUUCCCGGGCCUUGUACACACCGCCCGUCACACCAUGGGAGUGGGUUGCAAAAGAAGUAGGUAGCUUAACCUUCGGGAGGGCGCUUACCACUUUGUGAUUCAUGACUGGGGUG